rnacentral:rRNA from 1 species
UACGUAGGGUGCGAGCGUUAAUCGGAAUUACUGGGCGUAAAGCGUGCGCAGGCGGCUUACUAAGACAGGUGUGAAAGCCCCGAGCUUAACUUGGGAAUGGCGCUUGUGACUGGUAGGCUGGAGUGUGGCAGAGGGAGGUGGAAUUCCACGUGUAGCAGUGAAAUGCGUAGAGAUGUGGAGGAACACCGAUGGCGAAGGCAGCCUCCUGGGCCAGCACUGACGCUCAUGCACGAAAGCGUGGGGAGCAAACAGG